GAUGAACGCUAGCGGCAGGCCUAAUGCAUGCAAGUCGAACGGUGUCUUCGGACAUAGUGGCGCACGGGUGCGUAACACGUAUGCAACCUACCUUACAUUGGGGGAUAGCCUUUCGAAAGGGAGAUUAAUACCGCAUAAGACAGUAGCUGGGCAUCCAGUAGCUGUUAAAGAUUUAUCGAUGUAAGCUGGGCAUGCGUCCAAUUAGUUAGUUGGUGAGGUAAUGGCUCACCAAGACGAUGAUUGGUAGGGGAACUGAGAGGUCAAUCCCCCACACUGGCACUGAGAUACGGGCCAGACUCCUACGGGAGGCAGCAGUAGGGAAUAUUGGGCAAUGGACGCAAGUCUGACCCAGCCAUGCCGCGUGCAGGAAGAAGGCGUUCUGCGUUGUAAACUGCUUUUAUAUAGGAAGAAACGACCCUUGCGAGGGGCAUUGACGGUAUUAUAUGAAUAAGCACCGGCUAACUCCGCGCCAGCCGCCGCCGUAACAC
rnacentral:rRNA from 1 species